GCACCACACCCAUACAUAGCAACUGUCGUUGUCGCAGGGCUUGAGAAAUCCUUCCAGAGGGGGAAAGAACAGAUUGUAAAUAUAGAUGUGCUAGUCAUCCGUCUACAAGCAGUCAUCAGCGAUGACUUGAAGGAAGCAAGACAGCCUGGAGGGCUGAGCACAGAGAUAUAAGAACAUGAACAUGCAGGACUUGGUCAAGAGGAGCUGCAAACAAAACUGAAAAGGGGCAAAGCCAUGGAGCACACAGCCCAUCUGUUCAAAGGGAACUGAGUCUGGACUCGGGAAAGUCUUCGCAGACCAAUACGAACUUCUUCUCUGUAAGGGCAGAGGCCCCCAAGCCACCAGGAGAGUGGUGGACAGGAUAAGAGGAAACACACACCUAAUGCAAAGAAAGCCCUUCUAGGAGUAGAAAGCCUGGCUCUCCAAGGAGCUGUCGUCUACUAAAGCAACAGGGUCUGCCACGCUCCAAACGCUCUUUCUGAGCAGGCCCCAGGCUUGGCGUCUCUGCACGGGAUUUCUCUCCUUGUCUCAAACUUGCAAACUUAGCACCAUCCCUUCUUUCAAGAUGAGAAAUGAAUUCAACGCGGACACGUGGCUUCCUGCCGCGGGCUUGCAGUGACAUAUAGAGAAUGCAGGGCUGAAUUCCAGAUUUAUCCAGAAGUGAACUAAGGCCUCUCCCAAGACAGGGUUUCUCUGUGUAGCCCUGACUGUCUUGGAACUCAUACCUAGAAAUGAAAGUUUUUCUGUGGAGUGGAGACAGCGUUGAUACUGGGGCCUCCCAGGUGGUGUGAAUUCAAGGGCUCAGUUGUUCUAACACUAAGGAG
rnacentral:lncRNA from 1 species